AAAAACAAAACCUCACUAAGUCUUCAUUGAAAACUAUAUCAAUCUACUUUCCUAAUACUUCCCUUACCUUUUGUUUCACUUUACCCCACUCCCUCUAGCAUGUAAGCUCAUUGAGCAGGGCCCUCAACCCCUCUGUUCCUGUGUGUUCAACUUGUCUGGUUACAAAUACAUGUUUGUUUGUCCACCCACUGUAAAGCACUAUGUCAUUUGUUGGUGCUAUAUAAAUAUAAUAAUAAUAAUUAACCCCAUACAACUGGCCCCCCUGAUAGACGCCAAG